rnacentral:rRNA from 1 species
UACGGAGGGGGCAAGCGUUGUUCGGAGUUACUGGGCGUAAAGCGCGCGUAGGUGGCCAAUUAAGUCAAAUGUGAAAUCCCCGAGCUUAACUUGGGAAUUGCAUUCGAUACUGGUUGGCUAGAGUAUGGGAGAGGAUGGUAGAAUUCCAGGUGUAGCGGUGAAAUGCGUAGAGAUCUGGAGGAAUACCGAUGGCGAAGGCAGCCAUCUGGCCUAAUACUGACACUGAGGUGCGAAAGCAUGGGGAGCAAACAGG